GUACACGCUGUGACUAGCAUAUCAAUAAGCGGAGGAAAAGAAACUAACAAGGAUUCCCCUAGUAACGGCGAGUGAAGCGGGAAGAGCUCAAAUUUGAAAUCUUAAAGGGUUUCCCUUUACGAAUUGUAGUUUAAAGAAGUGUUUUCUGUUGAAGUUUUGGUAAAAGUUCUUUGGAAUAGGACAUCAUAGAGGGUGAGAAUCCCGUAUUUGGUCAUUCCUUCUAGCUUUGUGAUACACUUUCAAAGAGUCGGAUUGUUUGGGAAUGCAGUCCAAAAUGGGUGGUAAAUUUCAUCUAAAGCUAAAUAUUGGCGAGAGACCGAUAGCGAACAAGUACCGUGAGGGAAAGAUGAAAAGAACUUUGAAAAGAGAGUUAAACAGUACGUGAAAUUGUCAAAAGGGAAGCGUUUGACACCAGUGUUGUUUUUCUGAAAAUCAAUUAAAGAACUGUUUAUGCUAAGUUGUUUAGACUUUAUCAGCUAUCUGUUUAGUUUUGAGCUUUUCUUUAAUGCACUUUUCAGUUAACAAGUCAACAUCAAUUUCUUUUGCUGUAAAAAAGCUUGAGGAAGGUGGCUUGAGAUUCGUCUUAAGUGUUUAUAGCCUCUUGCCUAUGCAGUCGGAGAGAUUGAGGUCUGCAGCGUAGAUCCUUCGGGGCUAAAUGCAUUUGUGCUAAGUUAUAGCAUUUUAUAGACAAUUUGUUGACUAUGAUUUGUCUUGUAGCUUACUCGCUUAUGUUAUUUUACCUACGCUUAGGAUGUUGAUAUGCAUGACUGAUAU
rnacentral:rRNA from 1 species